ensembl:lncRNA
GUAGAGGUGAUCCCGACUACCUGUGCUCGGAACCUCUCAACCUCACGCACUAACUCAGGCUCCUUCCCCGCCAGCGAGUUCCAAAGAUGCGUUGUUGAGCCUGGGUAAAUGCCAACAUGGGCCUUUUCUGAGACUGGGUAAUCCUCACCCCUGAAUGAUGAGGAAAUACAGGGUGCUCUGCAGAUGCUCAGAGAGGCUUCAACUCCAGAGGAAGAACAAGAAGCUCUCUCCCAUUCAUGUUUUUGUUUAAUAAUUUUGAAGACACUGAAACAUUCAUAGACGAAAUAGACAAAAGAGGACUUAGUGAUAAUUUUGAGCUUCCCUGUUAAUUAUGUUUGUUAAUGAGGAUACCUAUUAGCUGUCUUUAAACCAUCAGCUAAUGCUGGGUUCCACACAACAAAAAUUACAAGAUCCAGAAAACACAAUAUAAUUUGAUGAGACAAAGAGACAAGGAACAUCAUUUAUUUAGCAAGAGUAAACUGGACAGUGUUUUGGAAGUGUUCUCCUGGCCAUACAACAUGAUAGGAUGAAUCCAAAGCCUACAGAAUCUGGGCAAAGCUGAAUACACAGUACAUAAAGAAACAGUUUAGUUUUGACAGUGUUGGAAUGUAAUGUUUAGAAUAUUUAAUGGGGUAAUUAAAUGUUUAAUUGUCUAACUGGCAUAUCAUUUAAUUUUGUAUUUCUUAGGUUAUGCCAUUAACUUUAAGAUUUUGGGCUAUAUUAAUUGACUUUCAAUAAUGUAUGUUGUGCUCUUUUUGACCUGUUCUACUUAUACUUUAUGCUAUUGAAAUAACUUUUAGGAUAAGGGUUAAAUUAGAUGUAACACAUAUUCCUCCCAACAAUGUUUUAAGUCCAUAACCACGUCAUUACUAUAUAAUAAAAUUUGUGCUUGUUCCAGGCACCCCUGGAUAAAUGCAUUGUUCUGUAAACAGAUGUUGACCUGACCUCUAAAUUAUGCAAAUUGAAACUUGCCACCUUUAUGCAACAGGCUAUAGAAAAUUCCACACUUCCAGUUACCAAUUUCAACUUUCUAGAAGAUUGCUGUUAAAUUGAACAAUGCAAGUCAGAGGAAGGAGAAACCAUUACAAUGAUUUGUAUGAAAACUGGUCAGAUCCAUGUCUCAUUCUUGACUGUAACCAAAACUUUUUUAAAUGAAUGUAUUUUCAAAUGAAUGUAUUUCAGUUGUUUGUUAUCAAACUAUUUUAAUCCUGUAACAAAAUACAAUUAAAUGUUAUUGGAAAAUACCAUUUUAUUUUACAUAAUUGGUACAAGCAUAAUCAGACUAAAGUGCAGUAUUUAAAGCAAAUACACUUUUGCUUUCUAUAUCAGUGCUUGAACCGCUUGAACCUAGUGUUAUAUCUUGACAAAUUAUAUUGAAUGAAAUCACAUGGACUCUGAGAUAAAGUUGUAACAUUAGUUUACUCUUCCUCCAUCAGUACACUCAACGUAAUGACGUAAUAUGCAUACAUGACACCUAGUGUUGAAACGUGUGUCAAACCAGGAUGUACCCAAACUGACCAAUGGCGAACAUUGGUGGGUGUUACUUAAUAUUCAGGAACCCCCAUUUAAA